rnacentral:lncRNA from 1 species
UGUGAUUGAGAGUAUUGUUUUAGAGAAGGAUUGAAUUACAUUGUAAUUCCAACUGAAUAGGUUCUCCGAACAACUUCUACAUUAGCUUGGGUAGCUAUGACAUAUGGUUAGAUGUCACUCAUAGCUUGUGAGUUCUUCUAGAUGAUUAAAUGUAGUCAUCAAAGAAGAAAGGUGAAUUAAAAUGAAGUUUUAAUUCACUAAGUGAUUGGAUUAAAUAUAAUCAAUUGAAUUGAUGUCAAUCACCUCACUGCCUUGCUAAUUAGAACCUAAAAUGAUUGUACACCAAUACACUCUUGUAGUGAGUAAUUAAUGGAUGA